GGACCCGCACAAGCGGUGGAUUAUGUGGAUUAAUUCGAUGCAACGCGAAAAACCUUACCUACCCUUGACAUGUAUCGAAACCCGCAGAAAAGCGGGGGUGCCCGAAAGGGAACGAUAACACAGGUGCUGCAUGGCUGUCGUCAGCUCGUGUCGUGAGAUGUUGGGUUAAGUCCCGCAACGAGCGCAACCCUUGUCAUUAAUUGCCAUCAUUUAGUUGGGCACUUUAAUGAGACUGCCGGUGACAAACCGGAGGAAGGUGGGGAUGACGUCAAGUCCUCAUGGCCCUUAUGGGUAGGGCUUCACACGUAAUACAAUGGCGCGUACAGAGGGUUGCCAACCCGCGAGGGGAGCUAAUCUCAGAAAGCGCGUCGUAGUCCGGAUCGGAGUCUGCAACUCGACUCCGUGAAGUCGGAAUCGCUAGUAA
rnacentral:rRNA from 1 species